rnacentral:rRNA from 1 species
GGGCAUUCCUGAGUGUAGGCUUUGCCUGCUAUCUCUUACCCAUGUCUUUUGAGUACCUUACGUUUCCUCGGCGGGUCCGCCCGCCGAUUGGACAAUUUAAACCAUUUGCAGUUGCAAUCAGCGUCUGAAAAAACUUAAUAGUUACAACUUUCAACAACGGAUCUCUUGGUUCUGGCAUCGAUGAAGAACGCAGCGAAAUGCGAUAAGUAGUGUGAAUUGCAGAAUUCAGUGAAUCAUCGAAUCUUUGAACGCACAUUGCGCCCCUUGGUAUUCCAUGGGGCAUGCCUGUUCGAGCGUCAUUUGUACCUUCAAGCUCUGCUUGGUGUUGGGUGUUUGUCUCGCCUCUGCGUGUAGACUCGCCUCAAAACAAUUGGCAGCCGGCGUAUUGAUUUCGGAGCGCAGUACAUCUCGCGCUUUGCACUCAUAACGACGACGUCCAAAAGUACAUUUUUACACUCUUGACCUCGGAUCAGGUAGGGAUACCCGCUGAACUUAAG